UGUACCACACUUUGCAAAGUGAGCCAUCUCCCCAGCCUUCCACAGUGGCCCUCAUGAUCCCCACCCCCACUACUAUGACAUCCUUUCCCCUGGGAGUCCUCCUAGACUGUCAUUUAAAAAGAGAAAGCCCCUUUCCUGGAAUCUCCAUCCGCCUUUCUUGACGUCCUUUCCCCAUAGCAUUUCUCAUCUCCUAACACACUAUGUAACUUUCCUACAUAGUACACUGUCUGUCUGCUCCAAGAAAGGUCUCAAGCCCUAUGAGGACAGAUUGUCUGCUCUGUCUAAUGCUCCAGGAUCACGUACAGUGUCUAGCCUGCUGCAGGUUGGGAUGUCUGCUAGAUGAACGAAGGUGGCACAUUCUCAGAGUAAGUGCUCCUGUAAGGGCACUGUGAAGGUCACAGCCACCAUCACAACACUGCUUGGAAAAGCUCUGAGACUGAAAUCUCAGGGACACUGUCAGACAGACUGGUGGACAAGCUCUGAAGAACUCAAGUCAGGUCAGGAAGCUGGGGUACGAAGCCGACAGCUCUUGUAGCUGGGUUGGGGAUGGCAUUCAGCAGGGCCAGUGGGGCUCCAGAAUCUGGCUUCUGGCUUCUUGGUGCUGUUACAGAGAGGCCCUAAGAUCCAGAGGUGAUGGACACCUACAGGGAAACAGGAUUCACUGUGCAUUACAACACAGCUGCACACACGAGUUCACACCAACUGGGACUGCAUGCACAGGACCUGCACAGAAUCAAGCUGGCCAAAAUCCCAGCCGGAUGGGGAAGGGCUCUUGAAGUACCACCCUAGCCAAGAUGAAUGGCCUAGCUGGCGAUGAAUGGCUGGUAGGGGAGGGAGAAUUUUCCUCAAGUUGCAGCCCCUGAGAGGCUACUGUGUUCCAGUGGAUAUUUCUACACCGUAUACAUACAGGCGGCAAUAAGUGUCCCCUGUAUAUUAAAAAAAAUUAACAGGAAGUAGGUAAGGAAGGGGGGAUAGGGAAGGAGUUAGAAGGGAGUGAAUUGGAGGGUAGAUUUGAUUUAAAAACACAUUAAAGUAUAUAUGAAGUUCCCAAUAAAAAUUUAAAAACCAAAACUAAAAACAAACCUUUUGUUCAAUAGAACCACCCAUUCGUCUGCUGGCUUAGAGUGAGUAUAAAGUCACGUCACCUGCCAGGUGACUUUUUUUUUUUUUUGCUUACUAGGAGAAAUCGUUUGGUAGCUGGGGGUGGGUGUGAGGUGGGUGUGGAGAAAGCCCACUCAUCAGCUCAUCAGUAGUACCAGGUCCGAGCAGAUCCCUGGUGAUCAUGCGUCACCAUGACGACAGCGACAGCGCCGGUCCAGACAGAGAGGAUUUGAGUCCCUGAGAUGCAGACCUGCCGUUAGCACUUUUCAACCUCAGUCUGAAUUGUGGAAACCACAGCCUUUGCUCUCAGAAUCCCAAGAGUGUUCGUUUAAAUAUUUUGGGAGUGUGCCCACACCCUGGGUGACACUACCACGGGCUGUCCAGGUGCUGCAGCAGGUGUCCAGUUGUCCCAGCCAUGACUCAGCCGGACUCUUCUGGCCUCUCAGCGUAUGCGCUGGCUCCCUGUGCGAUCUCUGCUCCAGCCUCCUGCAGCUCUUGACCCCUGCACACUGAAGGAGGCAAAGCCUCUGCUAACGUCUUGACUGAUGGAAUUAAGGAAGACGAGAAAAUCCGGAAGCGUAAAUCCUUCCCAAGAUGUCUGGGGAUUGAGAGCUGGAAGUGAGUGGCAUAGAGGCAAAACCAUUGGGCAGAAUUGUCGGAGGAAAGAUCCCUGUUGCUCUCAGCAUUGCCAAUGGCAUCCCUCCAACAUUUGGUGGUGAGGCAGAGCCCUCACAGGGCAGAAGGCAGAACUGUCUCAAGUCUCAACUUUGUGGUAGAAGUUACAGAGUGAUGGCAAGAAGAUUGGUUUUGCAGGGCCACCAUCCUGAUGAGAUCAGACAAGAAGAGGAGGCCGAGAGUGAUGUUUCCUCCAUCGUGGAAGCUAGCUGUCAGGCCACCAGUGAUUCUGGAUGGAAGGAUAAGUAGACACUCAACACAGACUCCCAAGACUGGACCUCCUAUGACCACCUAAUGGAUUUCUUCUUGGACCAAGGGAUGCACGACACUUUUGAGGAUAAGUCACUAGAGCUCAGCAUAGUCCUAGAACAUCAAGAAGUUUUGCCAAGAACCAGCAGAACUGUGAGAGGCUGAAGGCCUUAAUUCUAAUGGCAGUUUUGGCUAAAGGACAAAAGCUACUGUGACAUCAGAAUGAUGCUUUGAAAUGGCUGCCUGGUGUGAUGGGAGGAAAAAGCAAGCUUAAAUUCUUGCGGCCCACCUCCACUUACUGUUCCUUUGAACUUACUUUAAGUCACACGGCCAGGGAUGGGUGAAGCUGACAUCUGAACCUCUCCUGAUGUCAGAGCCCCCAUUUUUUCCCUACUUUAAGUAACUGCUCUUGAGGUUGCAGUUUCCAGCUUUAAGAGCAAAAUCUGUUUCUCUCAUUAAACCAACCUGUGUGAACACUGUUGUGAGGGCCUAUCGACUUAAGAACGACUCAAGCUCACCUGAGCAAACAAACUUCUAGGACUCCCCGGGAACACAUUUUUAUUAGAUAUUUUAUGUAUGUACAUUUCAAAUGUUAUCCCCUUUCCUGGUCCCCCCCUCCUAUCCUCCCUCUCCCUGCUUCUAUGAGGAUGUUCUCCCUCCCACCCAACCCCAAGUGGCACUUUUAAUUCAUGAUUUGAACAGGGAAUCUCUAGGUCCCAUUCCCAACUUUUCUAUACAUGCUAAAACUCCCAACUGGAGACUGAUAACAGAGAGACAUUGUGCCACAGAGGAGAAAGCUGGAACUCCAACACUGAGAUGAGCCUUCUCACCCCUCCUAGAUUCUAGAAGCUGCCAGGAGUCCUUGUUGUUCUUGGCAUGUAGCCUUGUCCCACCAAUCCCGCAUCUUCACGGGUGUUCUCCCUGUGUGUCUGUGUCUUCCCCUGGCCAUCUUCUUCUAAGGACACUGGUCAUACUGGGUCAUGAUGUUCCAGAAUGGCCUCUUCUGAACUGAUCACAGCUGCUCAUUUCCCUUAAGAGUCACAUUCUUGAGUACUGGGCAUGGAAUUUCCAGUGCAUCUUUUAGGGGAUAUAAGGGACCCCAUUAUACUUUCUUCCCACAUUAGCAGGCAAUCUUUUUGCCCUUUUGCUCUAUAGAAAGAAUGGGAGAGCAGAAAGCCCUUGUCACAUCUGUGUUUCCUAGAAGCCUUAGGACAACUGGAUAUGGACAUAAUGCUGUGGUCUAAAGCAGGAGCAAGAGGAGGCUUCCUUGAAGGUGGAGGUAGCAGGGUUCCAAAGUACAGCAGCUGCUCUGCACAUGACUGUUCAUGACUCUGUCCUCUGCUCCCUCAGAUCUCUGUUUCCUGAGCAGCCAGGAAGCCAUGAGUACCACUGAGUUUGGAGGGCCACUGAUCCACAAGGGAGACUAUUAUUACUUAUAUCCUACUAUCUCUGUCCUUGGAUAUAGUGUAUGUGAUUUAGAAGUUAAGAGGAAGGCAAGGACACUGGAGGAGUCAGCAUACCAGCAGAUGGCCAUGGAUCUGCCUCAUGCAAAUUAGGGGAAGAAUCUCCCACGGGCCCUCAGCAUCUUCCACUAGGCCACAGCGAUGACUAGACAACAGGAGGUAUCUAGCAAUUCAACACUGUGAGGGUCAUAAGCCAGGACAGCACCAGCUUCCUGGUCUGUUGAGUGGAGUGACAGUGUUAUCAUGCAGUGUUGUUCAAGACUGAGAGGUAGGUCUGUCUGUACCUCAGUUGGCAAAGUGCUUCCUAAUAUGCACAGUACUACAUAAAAUCGGGCCUGUUAGCACCAA